rnacentral:rRNA from 1 species
UACGUAGGGGGCAAGCGUUGUCCGGAUUUAUUGGGCGUAAAGCGCGUGUAGGCGGCCAGAUAGGUCUGCUGUGAAAACUCGAGGCUCAACCUCGAGCUGUCGGCGGAAACCAUCUGGCUAGAGUCCGGAAGAGGAGAGUGGAAUUCCUGGUGUAGCGGUGAAAAUGCGCAGAUAUCGGGGAGGAACACCAGUGGCGAAGGCG